AGCAGCCGCGGUAAUUCCAGCUCCAAUAGCGUAUAUUAAAGUUGCUGCAGUUAAAAAGCUCGUAGUUGAAUUUCGGGACCAUCAUGUCGGUCGUGCCUCGGUACGUACUGGCAUUGUUGGUUUCUACCUUCUGACGAACCAUGAUGUCAUUUAUUUGGUGUCGUGGGAAAUCAGGACUGUUACUUUGAAAAAAUUAGAGUGUUUAAAGCAGGCUCACGCUUGAAUACAUUAGCAUGGAAUAAUGAAAUAGGACGUUUGAUUCUAUUUUGUUGGUUUCUAGGAUCGACGUAAUGAUUAAUAGGGAUAGUUGGGGGCAUUAGUAUUCAAUUGUCAGAGGUGAAAUUCUUGGAUUUAUUGAAGACUAACUACUGCGAAAGCAUUUGCCAAGGAUGUUUUCAUUAAUCAAGAACGAAAGUUAGGGGAUCGAAGACGAUCAGAUACCGUCGUAGUCUAACCAUAAACUAUGCCGACUAGGGAUCGGAUGAUGUUAAUUUUUAAU
rnacentral:rRNA from 1 species